rnacentral:rRNA from 1 species
AUCGUAACAAGGUUUCCGUAGGUGAACCUGCGGAAGGAUCAUUACCAAGAACCACACAGAAAAAGGGAGGCAAAGGGGCCGACAGGAUUAGUAGCUUUUACGUUGUUGAACGUCCUGGCCGGACCCGGAGCCGCCCCCAUCUAAACCCUCUGCGUACCUGUCCCUUCUUGCUUCCCCCGACAUCUCGUCGGGGGGAGGGAACAACCAAAACUCUUUGUGAAUCAAACAGCCGUCAGAAUUAUAAAACAAACAAAAAGUUAAAACUUUCAACAACGGAUCUCUUGGUUCCCACAUCGAUGAAGAACGCAGCGAAAUGCGAUAAGUAAUGUGAAUUGCAGAAUUCAGUGAAUCAUCGAAUCUUUGAACGCACAUUGCGCCCCCUGGUAUUCCGGGGGGCAUGCCUGUUCGAGCGUCAUAAAAACCUCCUCCCCCUUCGGGUUUUGUUACUAUCGUUGGGGGGUUUUGGCCUAAUGGGAUAGCGAUUGGCAAUUCGUUUCCCAAUGUCCUAAAUAAACGUAGACCCGCCUCCAGAUGCGACAGCACCGAGGCCAUCAACCGUGGAGUUAUGGGAUAUAUAGGCUUGCAGUAAAAUGCUCACCUCUCUUCACACGCCGAUGGCACGACAGUUGCAGUUGCGGGCGUAAAUUGGAGCCCUUUUCAGGACCCUCGUGGCCUAGCAUCCACAAUACAUAAUU